rnacentral:tRNA from 3 species
GCGGACGUGGUGGAAUUGGCAGACACGCCAGAUUUAGGAUCUGGUGGGGUAAAACCCGUGGGGGUUCGAGUCCCCCCGUCCGCACCA